UGUGUACCAUCUGUGUUCUCAAUGCAGAAAUGUUUCUUUUCAGUGGCACUGAGGACUCCGGUGUCUUUGGCACAGUGUGGGCACUUGAUUUCCAAAAUACCAUCGCCACAGCAGGAGCAGGACUAUGUUCGCGGGCUAUGUGAUGUCAGAACUCGUAACUGGGAGUACAUGGGUCAUUCCAUUAAAUUUGCGUCCCUAACAAAUAAUCUGUUCUAAAGUUGGUUUAACAACAAAUAAAUGUGAAAUUUAAAAAACUUAAUGUUACUAUAUAUUAUAUCUAUCAAUAUAAUACCAAGUAAAAGCCAUAUAAUUUUAAAUAAUUAAAAUCACAUAUUAUAUGCUAUGGGUAAGGAUAAGGGUAAGCCUGUCCCUGUCAUUUUAUCAUUGUCCCCUAAUUCAUGUCAGUCCUGUUACUAUCACCAAAACCCCCAAAAUAAUGGUACAAACCAGAAGUGACAUCACAUCAAGGAAGUGACAUCAUUUAGAUGAAGUGGAUUCCACAGUGUAAGCAAGGUUGUUAGUAACGUGCCAAUAAUUGCAGCAGAGAAGCAACGGCGCUUUCGCACACAUAGAGACCAGGAUCCAGAGAGGAGAGAAUGGUAUCUUCAAUGGGGGAAAAAAAUAAGAGUUUUUACAAGUUAAUAGGCCUACCACUAAGUGCAUGAUUAAGUUUCCAUUGAUGAAAUUCCUUUCUUUUGUUGAAAUUUUAUGUAAUGAACAUGUAAUAUGAUGCUUUGUAUGGCUAUUUUCAGGAUUUAUACUACAAAAAUGUCAUAUUUACUUGAAACAAUGAGUUUUAAAAAGAAUUGAAUUAUUUUGUAGUUGUAUUGCCAGUUGUAUUUUUUAUCUCCAAAGAUGAUUUGUUUUAAUAAAGAUAUGUUUUCUUCUAUGAUUGUAUUUUUCUAUAUAAUUAUAGAUUACCUCCCAUAUGGAAGCAGAUUGUCAUGGGCUAAUGAAGUAACUAGUAUGUAUAAGCAAGUAAAUAAGUUCAUAACUCUUGUCCAUAAUGCAUGCAAUUAACUGCAAUUACAAAAAUAGGCGACAAAACACACUCUUGGCUAUUGAGAGGUCAGUCCUGUUACUGUCAUUAAUUUAA